AGUUAUAACCUGUGAUCAACUUUAAGUACUAUACGCUCGAACGUUCAACAAGCUCAUACCUGUCUUCUACGCUUUGCUUCCACACAGGUUAUAAUGCAUGCAUCAAGACUGGGCGAACUUCUGAUCUCUAGUGGUAAAACGGCAAGGAGUUUUCCACUGCGUAGGGCAUUCGUUUCAGCGUCACCAAGGCCCUUACAGGGAAAAGAAGAGGCAGAGCAAUGCCAAAAGGUGAAAGAAGCAGCAGAGGCAGU